GGGCACAGCAUGCUGGGGCGUUCAGAAACCAGUGCGUCUCUGUUUCCCUCAGCCUACCAGGAGGGUGUGGAGUCGUCAGCGCGGAGCACUGCUGCUUCACAAUGGGAAUCAUCCUGAGUGUGUAUCUUCAUUUUAUUCAUCUUCAAUUUCUGUUUGACAGAAUUUCAUGCUGCUGGAAGAUGUUACAUUGACAGUCGAGAGAUAAUUUUCGUCUUUAAUCCAGAGAACAAGAGCCACUUGGGAAGUGCCUAUAAAUGUCCUCUGGGUGUCCCAGAGAUACGCCUCAUCCCUGGGCUGGAAGGAACACACCUCUGGGAAGGAAACAACUUUGAUCAGUAAUUCUCUUUGGAAGACAUUAAGAGAAGCAGAUUCUAGCGAUUCUCAUCAUAUACACAGAUCUGUUAUCAUUUUACUUAAAGUACCUGGCACAGUGACUUUCAUAUCUAAGUAAACAAUAAAUACAUAAAUGAUGAACCAAAAGUUGGAUCCCAAAGGUGGAGAUGUGAGCAGAAGCCUAAUCCUUUGAGGUCUUGUUAACUGUGUUGAAAACUUUGACUUGCUCCUGAGAAAGCCACGGAAAAAUG
rnacentral:lncRNA from 1 species